GAAAGUCAACUAUGGUUCUUGAACCAGAAUGGGCUUCCAUAACUUAUAAAAAGGAGCAUCUCUUACCCAUCAUCUCACCACAUCCAGAGCGAGCAAGCAUUCUCAGUCUCUGCUGGAACCAUCAAUUUCAAGCUCUGUUAAGCUCUGUUCUCCCAUCUCCUUCCUCUUUCUCCUCUGGCAAACCCUCGAAGAGCACGACGAAGCUUUCGUCAAGCAACUGGAAAUUUGCUCAAC
rnacentral:lncRNA from 1 species